AUUGAACGCUGGCGGCAGGCCUAACACAUGCAAGUCGAGCGGAUGAAGGGAGCUUGCUCCUGGAUUCAGCGGCGGACGGGUGAGUAAUGCCUAGGAAUCUGCCUGGUAGUGGGGGAUAACGUCCGGAAACGGGCGCUAAUACCGCAUACGUCCUGAGGGAGAAAGUGGGGGAUCUUCGGACCUCACGCUAUCAGAUGAGCCUAGGUCGGAUUAGCUAGUUGGUGGGGUAAAGGCCUACCAAGGCGACGAUCCGUAACUGGUCUGAGAGGAUGAUCAGUCACACUGGGACUGAGACACGGUCCAGACUCCUGCGGGAGGCAGCAGUGGGGAAUAUUGGACAAUGGGCGAAAGCCUGAUCCAGCCAUGCCGCGUGUGUGAAGAAGGUCUUCGGAUUGUAAAGCACUUUAAGUUGGGAGGAAGGGCAGUAAGUUAAUACCUUGCUGUUUUGACGUUACCAACAGAAUAAGCACCGGCUAACUUCGUG
rnacentral:rRNA from 1 species